rnacentral:rRNA from 1 species
AGAGUUUGAUUAUGGCUCAGGAUGAACGCUGGCGGCGUGCCUAAUACAUGCAAGUGAAACGGGUAUCUUCGGAUACCAGUCGCGGACGGGUGAGUAAUACAUAGGCAACCUGCCUUUAUGAGGGGGGAUAACCGAGGGAAACUUUGGCUAAUACCGCAUGAAGACUCUAAGGCAUCUUAGAGGGAUAAAAGUUGGGAAACAACGCAUGAAGAUGGGCUUAUGGCGCAUUAGCUAGUUGGUGAGAUAGAAGCCCACCAAGGUAAUGAUGCGUAGCCGACCUGAGAGGGUGAACGGCCACAUUGGGACUGAGACACGGCCCAAACUCCUACGGGAGGCAGCAGUAGGGAAUUUUCGGCAAUGGGGGGAACCCUGACCGAGCAACGCCGCGUGAAGGAAAAGAAGGUUUUCGGAUUGUAAACUUCUGUUAUAAGGGAAGAACGGAUUGGAUAGGGAAUGAUCUGAUAGUGACGGUACCUUAUUAGAAAGCCACGGCUAACUACGUGCCAGCAGCAGC